rnacentral:rRNA from 1 species
AUUGAACGCUGGCGGCAUGCUUUACACAUGCAAGUCGAACGGCAGCGCGGGCUUCGGCCUGGCGGCGAGUGGCGAACGGGUGAGUAAUGCAUCGGAACGUGCCCAGUAGUGGGGGAUAGCCCGGCGAAAGCCGGAUUAAUACCGCAUACGACCUGAGGGUGAAAGCGGGGGACCGAAAGGCCUCGCGCUAUUGGAGCGGCCGAUGUCGGAUUAGCUAGUUGGUGGGGUAAAGGCUUACCAAGGCGACGAUCCGUAGCUGGUCUGAGAGGACGACCAGCCACACUGGGACUGAGACACGGCCCAGACUCCUUCGGGAGGCAGCAGUGGGGAAUUUUGGACAAUGGGGGCAACCCUGAUCCAGCCAUGCCGCGUGCGGGAAGAAGGCCUUCGGGUUGUAAACCGCUUUUGUUCGGGAAGAAAUCCUCUGGGCUAAUACCCCGGGGGGAUGACGGUACCGGAAGAAUAAGCACCGGCUAACUACGUG